rnacentral:rRNA from 1 species
AUACGGAGGAUCCGAGCGUUAUCCGGAUUUAUUGGGUUUAAAGGGAGCGUAGGCGGAUUAUUAAGUCAGUUGUAAAAGUUUGCGGCUGAACCGUAAAAUUGCAGUUGAUACUGGUAGUCUUGAGUGCAGCAGAGGUAGGCGGAAUUCGUGGUGUAGCGGUGAAAUGCUUAGAUAUCACGAAGAACUCCGAUUGCGAAGGCAGCUUACUGGACUGUAACUGACGCUGAUGCUCGAAAGUGUGGGUAUCAAACAGGAUUAGAUACCCUGGUAGUGCACACAGUAAACGAUGAAUACUCGCUGUUUGCGAUAUACAGCAAGCGGCCAAGCGAAGGCAUUAAGGAUUCCACCUGGGGAGUACGCCGGCAACGGUGAAACUCAAAGGAAUUGGCGGGG